CUUGAGUUAGGUGCACUGGUUUUUCUAAUAGAGUCAUAUGCUUUUUUGAGGAAUUUGAUAAGAAGAACGAUCAAGGGUGAUUAUUCCUUAAGGCAUUCAGCAAAAAGUAUCAGUAAAUAAAAGUCAAGAAUUUCCCACCCCUGCAAGCAUGAUAUCCAACGUUAUUGCUGCAACAUACUUGAGUUGGAGGAAGGUAUGUCCUAUCCUAUGAAACCAACAAAGUGCACAGAAUGAUGUAUUCUCCAGGAUGGAAGUGUUACCUGAAGUGCUAACCUAUCUGUUUUGACCAUAUUUUGGGUUUGAGCUGAUUAGAUGUUUUCCUCUUUUAUGGAUGUGUCACACAUUGAAAGUAAUAUGGCAUAUAUCAUGUGACUAGGAAAUCCAAAGGAUACAGAUUUCUCAAGUUCCUUAAAAAAAGUGAUGU